rnacentral:rRNA from 1 species
UACCGCCUACGGGGGGCAGCAGUAGGGAAUCUUCCACAAUGGGCGAAAGCCUGAUGGAGCAACGCCGCGUGGGUGAAGAAGGUCUUCGGAUCGUAAAACCCUGUUGUUAGAGAAGAAAGUGCGUGAGAGUAACUGUUCACAUUUCGACGGUAUCUAACCAGAAAGACACGGCUAACUACGUGCCAGCAGCCGCGGUAAUACGUAGGUGGCAAGCGUUAUCCGGAUUUAUUGGGCGUAAAGGGAACGCAGGCGGUCUUUUAAGUCUGAUGGGAAAGCCUUCGGCUUCACAGGAGUAGAGGAUUGAG